rnacentral:lncRNA from 1 species
GCGGUAAGCAGGAUCCACCCGAGUAGCGGGGACCGAAUCCCAUCUUUCUUAUCUCUCGAAGACUCCUUUCAGGCUGAGAUCAGAGAGGGAGGGAAAAAGAAGAGAGAAUCAUUGUUCUUCUUUUUUUAAUUUAAUAUACCAAGCCACCAGCUCAGAAGGCUUCAUUUGCUCUGAGUUAUCAUUGAGAACUAAAUGGAGAAGAAAAGAACUGAAGGCCUGAAGAUAUGUCAUCUGUAGAAAAGCCCCAUCCUUCUGCAGGUGGCCUCUUCUCAAGCUUUCUUGGCAAAUCAAGAGCUUCUGCCUUUUGGAGGACAUCCUCUUGACCUCCCACCCAUAUCAGCUCUUAGAGGACAUUCCACAGGAACAUUGCCUUCUUGUCCUCCAGUAUUUUUUAUGGAAACAGAAAUUAGGUUAUCUUCCUUAUGCUCUAGAUGGACAUCUGAAAUCAUCAAACCCUUGAGAGAAACAGCCCUCAUUCUUUUAUGAGACAACCUGGAAGAAAACAGGACUCUGAAGAUUUGUCUCCAUAUUCUCUGGAAAGAUGUACUCUGUUUGCAAUAAGAGGGAGCCACAUGGUUUAUUAGAUGGUUAUUAAUUGAGCAUUCUGUGCAAAGAAGUUUGUGCCUUAGUUAUAUUGAAAAGAAGAAAAUCUCUCCAGUUUCAGAAACACUGGCCUUUUGGAUACUGAGGAGUUGGAAAUGGAAAGGGGAUUUUAAUGAGUUUCUCGGCAAUGAGGCUAGAGAAAAUAUUAUCCAUCUCCCCCUGUUCUCCAAUUCAGCAGCUCGGACUCCUGUUUUCAUCACAGUCCUGUUAGAUAAUUACAGCCCCAAAGGCCUCCUGUUCCUUCUUUCUGUGUUCCCUGAAUCUUCUUUCCCAGAGCCAGGACCUCUUGGAAAUUCUCAGCCUCUGUUAGUUGCCCGCUCUGGGAGCCCGACUCCUCACAUCCGUCAUCUCUUUCUUCUCCCCCUUCACCUGCUGUAGUGUCCCCACUGUCUCUCUUUACCUCAGCUCCUUACCAUUCCUUUCCCUCUACACCCUUUUCCUUUGGUUCAUAGUCAGGAUGUGCUAGUUGCAUUCAAGCCCUUUUUGAUACUAAGAAUUCAGGGGGACAAAUCCAAACCCUGGAGACUACUGUCUUCCCCUUAGUGAUGCUAAUGAAUAUAAUUCCUGAUCUGAAAUUACCUGCACUUUAUUUGGCUCCAUCUACUUUUCUGCCACUUACUCCCUGUAUAACCAUAGGCUACGUACCCUACCUCUCUCUGGGUUUGUUUACUCCUCAGUUAAAAGGAGGAUUAAAAUGGCAAUCACAACACCUUGCUACAGAUAUGUUAGGAAGAUUAAAUGGGAUAACAUGCAGGGUGCCUAGCCUUCCUGGCAUAUAGUAAAUGCCUAUAAAAUAUAACAAGUGUCAUGUAUUAUUAUUAAAUUGUAUCUACCUGGUAGAAACUAA